GACGAACGCUGGCGGCGUGCCUAAUACAUGCAAGUAGAACGCUGAAGGAGGAGCUUGCUUCUCUGGAUGAGUUGCGAACGGGUGAGUAACGCGUAGGUAACCUGCCUGGUAGCGGGGGAUAACUAUUGGAAACGAUAGCUAAUACCGCAUAAUAGUAGAUGUUGCAUGACAUUUGCCUAAAAGGUGCAAUUGCAUCACUACCAGAUGGACCUGCGUUGUAUUAGCUAGUUGGUGGGGUAACGGCUCACCAAGGCGACGAUACAUAGCCGACCUGAGAGGGUGAUCGGCCACACUGGGACUGGGACACGGCCCAGACUCCUACGGGAGGCAGCAGUAGGGAAUCUUCGGCAAUGGACGGAAGUCUGACCGAGCAACGCCGCGUGAGUGAAGAAGGUUUUCGGAUCGUAAAGCUCUGUUGUAAGAGAAGAGCGAGUGUGAGAGUGGAAAGUUCACACUGUGACGGUAUCUUACCAGAAAGGGACGGCUAACUACGUG
rnacentral:rRNA from 1 species